UACUAUGUUACGACUUAUCUCAUCUUAAAAACGAGAGUGACGGGCGAUAUGUACAUAUUUUAGAGCUCUUUUAUUCAUCCAAAUAUUCUAAAAUAAAUUACCAUUAAAUCCACCUUCAUAUUCAAAAUUACAAUAAAUAAUCCGUAUCAAUAAAAAGAAUGUAAUCCAUCACCACUUAAUUAUUAAUUAAACCUUGACCUGAAAUAUAACCCAAUAAAAAUUCAAGAAAAUUAAUUAACCUUUUAAGAUACUUCACAUAAACGGCGGUAUAUAAACAAAACAUUAAGUAAGUUCCAACGCGGAAUAUCGAUUAAAAAACAGAUUCCUCUAAAAAGACUAAAACACCGCCAAAUUCUUUAAGUUUAAGGAACUUAAACCACUACUACUAAAGUAGAAAAAUUUACAUCAAAAUAAUAGGGUAUCUAAUCCUAGUUU
rnacentral:rRNA from 1 species